AGACCCGAAACCCGGUGAUCUAGCCAUGGGCAGGUUGAAGGUUGGGUAACACUAACUGGAGGACCGAACCGACUAAUGUUGAAAAAUUAGCGGAUGACCUGUGGCUGGGGGUGAAAGGCCAAUCAAACCGGGAGAUAGCUGGUUCUCCCCGAAAGCUAUUUAGGUAGCGCCUCGUGAAUUCAUCUCCGGGGGUAGAGCACUGUUUCGGCUAGGGGGUCAUCCCGACUUACCAACCCGAUGCAAACUGCGAAUACCGGAGAAUGUUAUCACGGGAGACACACGGCGGGUGCUAACGUCCGUCGUGAAGAGGGAAACAACCCAGACCGCCAGCUAAGGUCCCAAAGUCAUGGUUAAGUGGGAAACGAUGUGGGAAGGCCCAGACAGCCAGGAUGUUGGCUUAGAAGCAGCCAUCAUUUAAAGAAAGCGUAAUAGCUCACUGGUCGAGUCGGCCUGCGCGGAAGAUGUAACGGGGCUAAACCAUGCACCGAAGCUGCGGCAGCGACACUCAGGUGUUGUUGGGUAGGGGAGCGUUCUGUAAGCCUGCGAAGGUGGCCUGUGAGGGUUGCUGGAGGUAUCAGAAGUGCGAAUGCUGACAUAAGUAACGAUAAAGCGGGUGAAAAGCCCGCUCGCCGGAAGACCAAGGGUUCCUGUCCAACGUUAAUCGGGGCAGGGUGAGUCGACCCCUAAGGCGAGGCCGAAAGGCGUAGUCGAUGGGAAACGGGUUAAUAUUCCCGUACUUGGUGUUACUGCGAAGGGGGGACGGAGAAGGCUAUGUUGGCCGGGCGACGGUUGUCCCGGUUUAAGCGUGUAGGUGUGUGUUCCAGGUAAAUCCGGUUCACUUUAACACUGAGGCGUGAUGACGAGGCACUACGGUGCUGAAGCAACAAAUGCCCUGCUUCCAGGAAAAGCCUCUAAGCAUCAGGUAACAUCAAAUCGUACCCCAAACCGACACAGGUGGUCAGGUAGAGAAUACCAAGGCGCUUGAGAGAACUCGGGUGAAGGAACUAGGCAAAAUGGUGCCGUAACUUCGGGAGAAGGCACGCUGACACGUAGGUGAAGUGAUUUACUCAUGGAGCUGAAGUCAGUCGAAGAUACCAGCUGGCUGCAACUGUUUAUUAAAAACACAGCACUGUGCAAACACGAAAGUGGACGUAUACGGUGUGACGCCUGCCCGGUGCCGGAAGGUUAAUUGAUGGGGUCAGCGCAAGCGAAGCUCCUGAUCGAAGCCCCGGUAAACGGCGGCCGUAACUAUAACGGUCCUAAGGUAGCGAAAUUCCUUGUCGGGUAAGUUCCGACCUGCACGAAUGGCGUAAUGAUGGCCAGGCUGUCUCCACCCGAGACUCAGUGAAAUUGAACUCGCUGUGAAGAUGCAGUGUACCCGCGGCAAGACGGAAAGACCCCGUGAACCUUUACUAUAGCUUGACACUGAACAUUGAGCCUUGAUGUGUAGGAUAGGUGGGAGGCUUUGAAGCGUGGACGCCAGUCUGCGUGGAGCCGACCUUGAAAUACCACCCUUUAAUGUUUGAUGUUCUAACGUGGACCCGUAAUCCGGGUUGCGGACAGUGUCUGGUGGGUAGUUUGACUGGGGCGGUCUCCUCCUAAAGAGUAACGGAGGAGCACGAAGGUUGGCUAAUCCUGGUCGGACAUCAGGAGGUUAGUGCAAUGGCAUAAGCCAGCUUGACUGCGAGCGUGACGGCGCGAGCAGGUGCGAAAGCAGGUCAUAGUGAUCCGGUGGUUCUGAAUGGAAGGGCCAUCGCUCAACGGAUAAAAGGUACUCCGGGGAUAACAGGCUGAUACCGCCCAAGAGUUCAUAUCGACGGCGGUGUUUGGCACCUCGAUGUCGGCUCAUCACAUCCUGGGGCUGAAGUAGGUCCCAAGGGUAUGGCUGUUCGCCAUUUAAAGUGGUACGCGAGCUGGGUUUAGAACGUCGUGAGACAGUUCGGUCCCUAUCUGCCGUGGGCGCUGGAGAACUGAGGGGGGCUGCUCCUAGUACGAGAGGACCGGAGUGGACGCAUCACUGGUGUUCGGGUUGUCAUGCCAAUGGCACUGCCCGGUAGCUAAAUGCGGAAGAGAUAAGUGCUGAAAGCAUCUAAGCACGAAACUUGCCCCGAGAUGAGUUCUCCCUGAGACUUAGAGUCUCCUGAAGGAACGUUGAAGACGACGACGUUGAUAGGCCGGGUGUGUAAGCGCAGCGAUGCGUUGAGCUAACCGGUACUAAUGAACCGUGAGGCUUAACCUUACA
rnacentral:rRNA from 1 species